GUAGGGAAUAUUGCGCAAUGGGGGAAACCCUGACGCAGCGACGCCGCGUGAGUGAUGAAGGCCUUCGGGUCGUAAAGCUCUGUUGCAGGGGAAUAAAAAAAUGAAGGUACCCUGUGAGGAAGGAUCGGCUAACUUCGUGCCAGCAGCCGCGGUAAGACGAGGGAUCCUAGCGUUGCUCGGAAUCAUUGGGCGUAAAGAGGGCGUAGGUGGCUUGGUAAGCCAGGUGUGAAAGCCCAGGGCUCAACCCUGGAAGUGCAUUUGAUACUGCUGAGCUUGAGUGUCGGAGAGGUUACCGGAAUACCUGGUGUAGUGGUGAAAUACGUAGAUAUCAGGUGGAACACCGGAGGCGAAGGCGGGUAACUGGACGAACACUGACACUGAGGCCCGAAAGCGUGGGGAUCAAACAGGAUUAGAAACCCGAGUAGUCC
rnacentral:rRNA from 1 species